rnacentral:rRNA from 1 species
GAUGAACGCUGACAGAAUGCUUAACACAUGCAAGUCGAUGGGGAAGUGGUGCUUGCACCAUGGCAACCAUGGCGGACGGGUGAGUAACGCGUAAGGGACUUACCUGCAGGACUGGGAUAACAGGGGGAAACUCCUGACAAGACCGGAUAAUGUCAUGGAGCUGCAUGGCUUUAUGAUGAAAGGAGACGCCUGCGGAGAGCCUUGCGUCCUAUUAGCUAGUUGGUGAGGUAAUGGCUCACCAAGGCGAAGAUAGGUAGCCGGCCUGAGAGGGUGGACGGCCACAAGGGGACUGAGAUACGGCCCUUACUCCUACGGGAGGCAGCAGUGGGGAAUAUUGGACAAUGGGGGCAACCCUGAUCCAGCCAUUCUGUGUGCACGAAGAAGGUUUUCGGAUUGUAAAGUGCUUUCAGCAGGGAAGAAGUAAGUGACGGUACCUGCAGAAGAAGCGACGGCUAAAUACGUG